GCACUUGCACGCAGGCCGGCAGGCUCAGCUUGCGUCGCUGCUUUGUGCGCGUUUGCAGCGCUGUAAGGGGCAAUUUCAAACUGGUUUUGUUAAACUGAGAAAGUGAAUUGCAACGGAGCAACGACUCGGCUGAGCCACGGAGGUAUCUGGGGACAACAUCACCUCAAGGUGCUUUAGUGAUCAUGUUGUGCAGCAGACUCAGUUGUGGCAGAGGAUGAUUCUGCCUCUUGGAGCAUCCAAAGUGACGCCGGGAGAGCUGCCCACACAUGUGAGCCUGCAAGUGGUGUGAGACGCCCUUGCUGGGGCAGCUCGUUCCCCAGGCUCUGAAGCCGCUAUGUGCAGAGCGAACACAGGUAUAGCCCUGUUUGGGACUCCCGGUGGUGUCUGCGCGUUACGCUGAGGGACGAGGCAGCGAUUGCAGAAGGCUGACUUUCUGCCAGGGAGAG